GCCAGUUUUAUUACAUCCAUGCGACCUACACGCUAAUAGGUAAAGAUAGGUCCUAAUCCCACCCGAGUAUGUGUAGAUUAGGUUCGUUUUCCCAUGCUCUACUCCGGAUCCAACAAAAAAAUUUGGCAGCACCUCCCCGCUAUUCUCCUAAUACACGUUUCGGCAAUAAACAGAGAGGAUGUGUAUCCGAAGAACAACAGGGAGGCACUGGCGAAAUUAUGCAUCCAAUCCGAAACAAAGCAUAUGGGAAAACGAACCCAAUCUGAACAUACUCGGGCUAUCCAUGGAUAACGUUAGACAAUUCGGAAGAAUCACAGUUAUAAAUAUAUGCAAAUGCAUGCAUAUUUAUAAUUGUAACCCUUUCGAGCGGGAGACGCAUACUGAUCACACAUACUGAUAAUUUAAUGUACCUAUAUCUAGGAAGUUUCAUCCAAAGACUGACUCAGAGCAAAUUAAGGGGCGAGGAGGAGAUGUCAUUUGUAUUCACCCACGAACACAGGGGAGGAGCUCGUCGAACGCACGGGGAGGUCUUUGUACAGCACACGAGACAACUACACAUGUAAAUCCACCAGAUCAACACAAAUAUUUGUGUUCAUUAAUAAAAUCAAAAAAUAUAUUACCUAACACAAAUAUAUGACAUAUAUAGAUGUCAUUUAGGGUUCCAUCGACGCUGAGGAAGCCCCUAACUCGCUCGUCCACGGUGCCCUCAGGUAUGGCGACGCACGGUCGAAGGGUUAACACGCCAUCUCUUCCAGUUCCGGAGAUCUCUCCUCUCUGCCUCUCCUGUCCUCUCCGAUCAUUCUCCUGGUGAGCUCCCGCCGGUAGCCUCUCAAAGGCCAAAGAGCACCUUAUCGGUCAAGAGGGGCCGAAGAAGUGUCAGGGGUUGGGGGUAAGUGCCAUCGGGGGCGGCGUAUUAAUAACUGCGCGGACUUUCGUGCGGGGGUGUCAGGAUGUCGUGUCAGGGCGUCGUGUCAGGGUGUCGGGGCGUUGUUUCGGGGUGUUGGGGCGUCGUGUCGGGGUGUCAGGGUGUCCUUUUCUUCUUCAUCCUCUUCCUUUUCCCUCUUCUUCCUUUUCUUCUUCUUCUUCUU
rnacentral:lncRNA from 1 species